GGGCCACACCAGUGCUGCUGAUCGUGUAGUGCAGUGCUCAUCUUCAGGGGGAGCAGAAAAAUGCUGAAAAUAAUCUUUAAGGUCGUGGCAGUUUCUGCUUUAUUCACCGUGGUAUAUUUUGCGAUGCAUUUGUACGGCGGAAACAGAACUGUGACUUUCUUCUCUCAGCCUGAUCAUGAGGCAAGUGGAGACAACAAACUUCCCUUUGAUACAAAAGGAGGUGUUCAACCAGUGCAGCCAGAAAGUAUUGAAGGCCCAGGUCCUACCCAGGGGAACACAUCCACACCGGCUGCAACAGAACUCCUGGACGGUGCCACCGGGACUCUCUGACCCUAGGUCACAAGGACAGAAGAUGUAAUGCAUUCUGUAAACGACAUGAGAAACUGAAGCAGUAGCUGUUCCAUCUCCACCCUACAUCGCUGGCACAGCAGUCGGACUUCGGUGUGUUCAAAGCACCAAUACUUAAACAUCGAUGACUUCGGAACCUUAGGAUCCUGGACUGGUGUUGAAUAUGGAUUAGUUGGCAUUUCAAUCAUAGUGCUCAAACAAAAUAAGAGGGUGUCACUCAGCUUUUCUGUUUAAAUCCAGCCCGUAAAAAUGUUUUGAUGGACACUAUAACAUUGAGUUUUGUGGAUAUCUAACAUUACUACUGACACAAUCCCAUAAACUUCUGACUGCUGUGGGUAAAGAAUUAUAAGUAAAAUUAUUUUUUGAUGCCUUUAUUGGUGGCAGGGAUGCAUUGGUUUGUAUAGUUUAAAAAAAAAUGUAUUACAGGUUUGUUUACUGGUUUGACUUAUGUAUGACCUUUUCCUACGAAGUUGUGCUCUUCAUUCUCCAAAUGGAUGUUGUGAUUGUAUCUUUUUUCUUUUCUUUUGUGAGCUGUAAUGUUGCUUUAGCAAUUUGAGUAGAUAUGUAAUGACAUUUAUGGCCACUGUGGUCCAGCACUGAGCAUAUCAGUGAACCACAAAGCCAAAUUAAACACACAGGAAUUAAA